AGUGGAGCAAUCCAUGAGUACAGUGGCGUACGGGUGAGUAACACGUGACUACCUACCCUCGAGUGGGGAAUAACCUCGGGAAACCGGGGCUAAUACCGCAUAACAUCUACGGAUCAAAUGCGUAAGCAGCUUGAGGAGGGGGUCGCGGCCGAUUAGCUAGUUGGUGAGGUAAUGGCCCACCAAGGCAAUGAUCGGUAGCCGGCCUGAGAGGGCGCACGGCCACACUGGAACUGAAACACGGUCCAGACUCCUACGGGAGGCAGCAGUGGGGGAUUUUGCGCAAUGGGGGAAACCCUGACGCAGCAACGCCGCGUGGAGGAUGAAGCCCCUUGGG
rnacentral:rRNA from 1 species